rnacentral:lncRNA from 1 species
CCUGGCUCCCCUUGGUCUGCAACCCCCGCCCCGCUGCCCCGCGGACCCGGGGGUCUGCAGUGAGCGCCGCAAGAGGGCGGGGCCCGCGGACCCCUGACCGUCACUUCUCGGGGGGAGGGGGGCUUGCGCUGCCGCCGAUGGGGCCCUGGGGGACCCCGGACGGCGGUCCUUGCACUCGCCCGCCCGGCUCCCCGCGUCCGCGCUGCAGGGAGCGCCCCGCCUGGGCACGGCCGUGCCCGCCCGGAGGAGGGAGGAGGCCGGCGGCCGCGGGAACAAUGUGGUCGGUUGUUUUGCCGACUGUCAGCCUGGUUCCCGGAUCCUCCUUUCCACGCCCCUUGGCCUAACCGCCACAGGCCCGGCACGCAGAGGGAAGAGCCCCCUUAUUUGGUCUUGGAAAGAAAGGGGAAAGGUUAUCCUCAGAUGCCUGCGGCGUUGGGUCAUCGGCCCGCAGCGCUUGGCCCGCGCCCGGGCGCAGCGCCGUCUCCCGCCGGUAGGUGGCGGCGCCGGGCAGCGCCUCGCCGGCCGCCCGAGUGGUAAACAAGCCCGCAGGUUCCGGUACCUCCGCUCCGGGCUUCUUUUGUGUGCGCGCCGUGAGGGAGGGGCGGGAGGGCCGGCCGGGGGAGGCAGAAGCGCGCGAAAAGAAAAAACAAAGCCUUUUAUAUGGGAGAGACAAGCUUUCAAAAUCGGAAAGUCGGCUUCAGCGCGAGGGCGUGACUUUGCCGUGUCGGUUUCGUGUGAACCGUUUGCGAGCGCACGAGGGGAUGCGGGCAUCCGUGUUACGGUCAGCCGGGCAGUUGGGGUGCAAAUUCCGUGAGGAACAUUAAUAAGACGCUAUGAUGACAGGAAUUACCCUCGCCGUUUGACCCGGAGCUCGGAGAGGCUGAGGGCACACGGACAGGAAGUGGCAAAGCUGGGAUUUGAAUCCAAGUCCUUCACAGUUCGCAGGUGGAUGGAGCCCAAGGAACGUCACACCGUGCCACCAUCAUCUCAGGGACUGCCCUGUUUGGAGGGCAGCAGCACCCAGCCAUCCAGCGUGGAUUGAGGAACAGAGCUGUGCAUCCUUGGCCGUGCUCUGUAACCUCUGUGCUCCAGCUGUUGUCAGGAGUUAAUGAUUUGUUCGGGUGUGAAGGACUUAACACAGUGUCUGGCCCAUGAGGAGCACAGUAGGGACACCUCCCAGGAUUGUUGGGAGGAUUAAAUGAAAUAAUGCCUGUAAAUCCCUCAACCCUGGGCCUGGCACCCAGAAAGGGUUCAAUAAACGUCUGGUGAGCACUAUAAUCGGCUACCUCUUUUUGAGUGUCAGCUAUAUGCUACAAACUGUUUAAGGCUCUUUACAUACGCGCUUGAAUCCUUAUGGAAAACCUAGGAUGUAGAUAAAAUUAUUCCAGUACAGGGACUUUGGAAUUAGGUGAGUUAAGUAAAAUUACCCGAGGUCACACAGCUAGUAUGUGGCAGCCCCAAGAUCUGGCUGGCUCCAACGUGUGUGCCCUUUUGAUUAUGGGCAGCCUGGGAGGAAAGAAGAAAUUAUAAACAGUCCUAUGUGGUGGGCUGAAGGGUCUUCAUGGGAGAGGGGGUCAUAACUGCCUCCUCAUUAUGAAUAACUUGCUAUUAUCCCUGUGUCUUUGGGGUGGCUCUGGAAGACAGUGACAUAAGGCUGAUUACAUAUGCAGAUAUAAGAACCAGUGGACUACAGCCACCUUUGGGUCUCCUGACUGUUGUCUGCCUAAAUUCCAAAAGCCUCCUGGGGCCCUUUCAAGCCCAGGCUAGAGAUGGCUCUAUGUACUGGUUAGGAUUCUUUCUGUUUUUGCAAAAGUCAGAAACUCUACUCAAACUGGUUUAAGCGAAAAAGAGGUAUAAUAAGCUCAUGCAACUGAUAAUGGAAAGGUAUGGCUUCAGGCAUAGCUUGAUCCAGGAGUUUCAACAAUAUUAUCUGGACUUAGCCUUAUCCACAGCUCAGCUCUAGUUUCCUCCAGAUCGGCUUUAUUCUCAGAUCGGCUCUCUCACUGACGCUUUUUGGCCCUCAUUGGCCAGGCCUAGGAAAACUUGAGUCCUUAAAAGAAAAAUCAUGGUUCUCUUGUUAAAAGAGGCUAGGGAUGCUAAGCAGGCAAGAACAACGGAUGCCCACUCCACCCUGCUGAUAUAACACCAUCAAUCAGGAAGAUGGAGAGAAAAGACUUUAAUUGUG